rnacentral:tRNA from 1 species
GGUGGCUCAGUGGUAGAGCACUUGCCUUGUAUGCAUGUAGCCCUGGGUUCGAUUCCUCAGCACCA